AGUAACGCGUAGGAAUCUACCUGGUAGUGGGGGACAACAUGGGGAAACUCAUGCUAAUACCGCAUACGCCCUAUGGGGGAAAGCGGGGGACCUUCGGGCCUCGCGCUAUCAGAUGAGCCUGCGUAGGAUUAGCUUGUUGGUGAGGUAAAGGCUCACCAAGGCGACGAUCCUUAGCUGGUCUGAGAGGAUGAUCAGCCACACUGGGACUGAGACACGGCCCAG
rnacentral:rRNA from 1 species